AUCAUUCUCCUGGUGGACAAGCAGCAGUUCAACACCUGCAAACAGUUCGACAGCGAAUCAGAAUCAGACGGAGGCAUCAGAGAGUUCAAACGAAAAUGACAUCCAAGUCACAAAACCUCCUCACACAUUGGUGUCUGAGGUCCAGGAGGGGAACAGUCCUGAACAAACCACUGUAAACUCACAUUCGGGUCAUUCUGAUCAUCCUCACAUCCCACCACAGUACUGAUCAAACUCAUUCACUGACCCUGAUGAAAUCGCCAAAGUAGACAAGAUCAACCUCAAUGUAAAAUGUGCUGGAAAGACCAUGGAAGUGGACAUGUUCCCACUGGAAAGUAUCUCCGUUUUACUAAAGGUGGCCUGUGAACGGGCAGGGAAGAAACCAGAGAAAAUGUCGCUGGUUUAUGAAGGAAAUCGUCUGGAUGUGAGCAAGACAGUGAGUCGCUAUGGACUACGAGGAGGACCCACCGUACAUUUGAUUCAUGCCUAGGAAUCAUAUCUCACAAACAAGUUCUGUUAAUACAC